rnacentral:rRNA from 1 species
GCGGGAAUUCGAUUUUCCGGUUGAUCCUGCCGGACCCCACUGCUAUUGGGAUGGGACUAAGACAUGUUAGUCGAGCGUCUCUAAGCUAUGAUGGAGACGCGGCGCACAGCUCAGUAACACGUGGCUAACCUGCCCUUGGGACAGGGAUAACCCCGGGAAACUGGGGCUAAUACUUGAUAGGUGAGAAAUCCUGGAAUGGAUUCUCGCUGAAAGGGCGUCUAGAUCAUGCUUUUAGGCGUCGCCCAAGGAGGGGGCCGCGGCCGAUCAGGUUGUUGGUAAGGUAACGGCUCACCAAGCCUUUGACCGGUACGGGCCGUGAGAGCGGUAGCCCGGAGAUGGGUACUGAGACAAGGGCCCAGGCCCUACGGGGCGCAGCAGUCGCGAAAACUCACCAAUUCACGAAAGUGUGAGUGGGCCAUCCCGAGUGCCAUCCGCUGAGGAUGGCUUUUCCUUAGUGUACAAAGCUGGGGGAAUAAGGAGAGGGCAAGUCUGGUGUCAGCCGCCGCGGUAAUACCAGCUCUCCGAGUGGUGGGGAUGUUUAUUGGGCCUAAAGCAUUCGUAGCCUGCUGGGCAAGUCCUCCGUUAAAUCCAACGACUCAAUCGUUGGGCCGCGGGGGAUACUGUUCGGCUAGGGGGCGGAAGAGGUCGACGGUAUUCUCGGGGUAGGGGUGAAAUCCUAUAAUCCCGGGAGGACCACCAGUGGCGAAGGCUGUCGGCUAGAACGCGCCCGACGGUGAGGGAUGAAAGCUGGGGGAGCGAACCGGAUUAGAUACCCGGGUAGUCCCAGCCGUAAACGAUG